rnacentral:rRNA from 1 species
CGGAGGAGAGGAAACUAACCAGGAUUCCCUCAGUAGCGGCGAGUGAAGUGGGAAGAGCUCAAGCCUUUAAUCUCCAGUGCGUUGCACUGGCGAAUUGUAGUCUGAAGAGGGGUCGUCUCGUCAGCGGUGCCUCUCAAAGUUGUCGUGGAAUGGCACGCCCUAGAGGGUGAGAGCCCCGUGGUUGAGAAGGCAGUGUGCUGGCGUAACGAGGCCCCGUCUUGGAGUCGGGUUGUUUGGUCGUGCAGCCCAAAGCGGGUGGUAAACUCCAUCCAAGGCUAAGUACUGGCACGAGACCGAUAGCGAACAAGUACCGCGAGGGAAAGAUGAAAAGCACUUUGAAAAGAGAGUCAAACAGUGCGUGAAACCGUUGGUAGGGAAGAGAAUGCGGGUGACCUUUCUCUUGCGAGGGUUCAGGCGGCUGGGCGGUUGCUGCAGGCUGUUACGGCGGGGUACGCAAGUGACCCGCGUGCGGCCUGCGGACUGUCCGUCCAGCCUUGCGGCACUCCCUCCGAGAGUGGUCAGCAAGAGUUUGAUUUGGUGCUCCAAACGUCCGCUUUGGAAGUUGGGGUGGUCCUCUGGGAUUGCCCUCUGUCUGCUUGCGGUUCAGGAGUGCCUCGGACUGAGGAAAGUGGCAGCCCUUGCCACGGCAGUGCCAGCCUGCGGGCCGGACGGAUUGCAUCGGCGGAAGCCUCGACGUGCGGGACUGCCCGGCAGUGUCGCAUCGUAGUCCAAAGCCGGGAGCAAUUGCAGUCACGAUUGGCACUUGGGUUGUUGGCCUCCAGUUGCCCCCAUUCGUCCCGUCUUGAAACACGGACCAAGGAGUGCAGCUUGUGCGCGAGUCUUUGAGUGUCAAACUCCCAGGCGCAGCGAAAGCAAAGGCACACACUCGGUGUGCCGAGGUGGGAGCCCUCGCGCGCGGCGGCUCACCAUCGACCGGCUCUGUUCACACGGUGGAGGAGUCGAGUGAGAGCGUACAGGUUGCGACCCGAAAGAUGGUGAACUAUGCCCGAACAGGGCGAAGCCAGGGGAAACCCUGGUGGAGGCCCGAAGCGGUUCUGACGUGCAAAUCGAUCGUCUGAUUUGGGUAUAGGGGCGAAAGACUAAUCGAACCAUCUAGUAGCUGGUUCCCUCCGAAGUUUCCCUCAGGAUAGCUGGAACCCGUUGUGGCAGUUUUAUCAGGUAAAGCGAAUGAUUAGAGGCCUUGGGGUUGAAACAACCUCAACCUAUUCUCAAACUUUAAAUAGGUAAGAUGGCGGUCUUGCUCGAUUGAAGUCCGUCGCGGAAUGCCCAGGUUCCUAGUGGGCCAUUUUUGGUAAGCAGAACUGGCGAUGCGGGAUGAACCGAAAGCCGGGUUAAGGUGCCCAAGUGGACGCUCAUCAGACCCCAGAAAAGGUGUUGGUCGAUCCAGACAGCAGGACGGUGGCCAUAAAAGUCGGAACCCGCUAAGGAGUGUGUAACAACUCACCUGCCGAAUCGACCAGCCCUGAAAAUGGAUGGCGCUCAAGCGUCACACCCACCCCCGGCUGUCGGGGCUAGGAGGUUGGCCCCGACAAGUAGGAGGGCGCGGCGGUGGUGAAGCAGCCUCGAGCGCAAGCUCUGGUCGAACUGCCGUCGGUGCAGAUCUUGGUGGUAGUAGCAACUAUUCAAAUGAGAACUUUGAAGACUGAAGCGUGGGGAAAGGUUUCAUGCGUACUGCAUUUGCACAUGAGUCAGUCGGUCCUAAGGGCCAGGUCAACUCCGAUCACGUGUGCCCGGUCGCCCUCCCUUUGCGGCGGUUGUGUGCCAGGCGCCUUUGCCCGAAAGGGAAUCGAGUUAAUAUUCUCGAACCGGAAUGCGGAUAGGGGGCUCGGUCCCUGUGCGACUGUUCCCCGCGGCGGCAACGCAAGCGAACUCGGAGACGUCGGCGCGAGUUCCGGGAAGAGUUCUCUUUUCUUCUUGACGGGCCCAUCCCCUGGAAUGGGAUUGCCCCGCGAUAGGGUGGCGUGCCCGGCAAAGUGCUGCACCUCUCGCAGCAUCCGGUGCGCUCGCGUCGGCCCGUGAAAAUCCGAGGGAGCGCGUGAUUCUCGCAUCCGGCCGUACUCAUAACCGCAUCAGGUCUCCAAGGUGAACAGCCUCUAGUCGAUAGAACAAUGUAGGUGAGGGAAGUCGGCAAAUUGGAUCCGUAACUUCGGGAAAAGGAUUGGCUCUAAGGACUGGGUCUGUCGGGCUUCGGCUGGAAGGCAGACGCGCGGUGUCCUUCUGGGUGAGCGGCUCCCCUCUGCGGGGGGUGCAGCAAUCCCGGCAGUUUGCCGUGCCGAUGCCCAAAGGUCAAAGCUUGGUCUUGGCGGACCGAUCGGCAGGCAACGAGCAGUCGUCUUAGAACUGGAACGGACAAGGGGAAUCCGACUGUUUAAUUAAAACAAAGCAUUGCGAUGGCCGCAACCGGUGUUGACGCAAUGUGAUUUCUGCCCAGUGCUCUGAAUGUGAAAGUGAAGGAAUUCAACCAAGCACGGGUAAACGGCGGGAGUAACUAUGACUCUCUUAAGGUAGCCAAAUGCCUCGUCAUCUAAUUAGUGACGUGCAUGAAUGGAUUAACGAGAUUCCCACUGUCCCCAUCUACUAUCUAGCGAAACCGCAGCCAAGGGAACGGACUUGGCACAAUCAGCGGGGAAAGAAGACCCUGUUGAGCUUGACUCUAGUUCGACUCUGUGAAAAGACAUGAGAGGUGUAGGAUAGGUGGGAGCCUCGUCGGUGCCGGUGAAAUACCACUACUUUCAUCGUUUUUUUACUUAUUCAGUGAUGCGGAAGCGGGCCCGGAGGCCCACCUCCAAGCGUUAAGGCACCGAGUUGGCGUGCCGAUCCGUGUUGAAGACAGUGUCAGAUGGGGAGUUUGGCUGGGGCGGCACAUCUGUCAAAUGAUAAC